UACGGAGGGUGCGAGCGUUAAUCGGAAUUACUGGGCGUAAAGCGCACGUAGGCGGUUCGUUAAGUCGGAUGUGAAAUCCCUGGGCUCAACCUGGGAGCUGCAUUCGAUACUGGCGAACUUGAGUAUGAUAGAGGGGGGUGGAAUUCCAGGUGUAGCGGUGAAAUGCGUAGAUAUAGGAAGGAACACCAGUGGCGAAGGCGACCACCUGGACUGAUACUGACACUGAGGUGCGAAAGCGUGGGGAGCAAACAGGAUUAGAUACCCUAGUAGU
rnacentral:rRNA from 1 species